AUUGAACGCUGGCGGCAGGCCUAACACAUGCAAGUCGAACGGUAACAGGAAGCAGCUUGCUGCUUCGCUGACGAGUGGCGGACGGGUGAGUAAUGUCUGGGAAGCUGCCUGAUGGAGGGGGAUAACUACUGGAAACGGUAGCUAAUACCGCAUAAUGUCGCAAGACCAAAGAGGGGGACCUUCGGGCCUCUUGCCAUCGGGUGUGCCCAGAUGGGAUUAGCUUGUUGGUGGGGUAACGGCUCACCAAGGCGACGAUCCCUAGCUGGUCUGAGAGGAUGACCAGCCACACUGGAACUGAGACACGGUCCAGACUCCUACGGGAGGCAGCAGUGGGGAAUAUUGCACAAUGGGCGCAAGCCUGAUGCAGCCAUGCCGCGUGUAUGAAGAAGGCCUUCGGGUUGUAAAGUACUUUCAGCGGGGAGGAAGGGAAUAAAGUUAAUACCUUUGCUCAUUGACGUUACCCGCAGAAGAAGCACCGGCUAACUCCGUG
rnacentral:rRNA from 1 species